rnacentral:misc_RNA from 1 species
UUUCCGUAGGUGAACCGGCGGAAGGAUCAUUAUUGGAUUUUGAAACUUCAGGCUGCUGCUGGCUCUCCUCGGAGGGCAUGUGCACGCUUGUUGUCCAUUAUUUCUCCCACUGUGCACAAAUUGUAGACCUUUCAGUAGGCCUAUGUUGUUUUUCACAAUCUCUGAAUGUAAUAGAAUGGUUUUGAAUCUUGGGAAAUACAAUACAACUUUCAGCAACGGAUCUCUUGGCUCUC